rnacentral:misc_RNA from 1 species
UCCAGAUAUAAUUUCUGGUGCAAUGUACUCUUCAGUCCCAACAAAAGAAUUUGAUGCUCUCAUUGGUUCAGCUAGAAAAACUGGAGGACAUCUACCCCCUUUCUGCAUCUUUUUUAUAUCCUGGGUACUUGGAAGCAAAAUCUGUGGUUUACAAGAUGUCAGACAAGAUAGAUCAAAAUCAGUCAGAGACACGUGACCAUCCCUUUGAAGCAAGAUAUUUUCUGGUUUUAGGUCUCUGUAGAUGAUA